AGAGUUUGAUCCUGGCUCAGGAUGAACGCUGGCGGCAUGCCUAAGACAUGCAAGUCGAACGAGAUGGCCCAGUGAAGGUUGAGUGCUUGCACAAGACUGAAUCUGGAUUCCCAUCUAGUGGCAGACGGGUGAGUAACACGUGGGUGACCUACCUUUUCGUUGGGGAUAACAGUUGGAAACGAUUGCUAAUACCGAAUAAAAUGUAAGAGUCAAUUUUACAUUGAAAGGAGCCUUUAAAGCUUUGCGAUUAGAUGGGCCUGCGGCGUAUUAACUAGUUGGUGAGGUAAUGGCUUACCAAGGUGACGAUGCGUAGCCGAACUGAGAGGUUGAUCGGCCACAUUGGGACUGAGACACGGCCCAAACUCCUACGGGAGACAGCAGUGAGGAAUAUUGGUCAAUGGAGGAAACUCUGAACGAGCAAUGCCGCGUGAGUGAUGAAGGUCUUAUAGAUUGUAAAACUCUGUUGUAUGGAAAAAACGACUAGGUUAGGAAAUGAACUUGGUGUGAUGGUACCAUACCAGAAAGCCCCGGCUAACUACGUGCCAGCAGCCGCGGUAAUACGUAGGGGGCAAGCGUUAUCCGGAUUUAUUGGGCGUAAAGCGCGCGUAGGCGGUUUAUUAAGUUUAAGAUUAAAGUCCGGGGCUCAACUCCGGUAAGUCUUAAAAACUGGUAGACUUGAGUACGGUAGAGGCAAACGGAAUUUCUAGUGUAGCGGUGAAAUGCGUAGAUAUUAGAAGGAACACCAGUGGCGAAAGCGGUUUGCUGGGCCGUUACUGACGCUGAGGCACGAAAGCGUGGGGAGCAAAUAGGAUUAGAUACCCUAGUAGUCCACGCCGUAAACGAUGAGUACUAAGUGUUGGGGCAACCCAGUGCUGAAGUUAACACAUUAAGUACUCCGCCUGAGUAGUACGGUCGCAAGGCU
rnacentral:rRNA from 1 species